UGUAGCUGUGUGUGAGAGAGAGAGCAUGCUAACUGUAACUGUGUGUGAGAGAGAGAGAGUAUGCUAACUGUAACUGUGUGUGAGAGAGAGAGAGCAUGCUAACUGUAGCUGUGUGUGAGAGAGAGAGAGAGCAUGCUAACUGUAGCUGUGUGUGAGAGAGAGAGCAUGCUAACUGUAACUGUGUGUGAGAGAGAGAGAGCAUGCUAACUGUAGCUGUGUGUGAGAGAGAGAGCAUGCUAACUGUAGCUGUGUGUGAGAGAGAGAGCAUGCUAACUGUAACUCUGUGUGAGAGAGAGAGAGCAUGCUAACUGUAGCUGUGUGUGAGAGAGAGCAUGCUAACUGUAACUCUGUGUGAGAGAGAGCAUGCUAACUGUAACUGUGUGUGAGAGAGAGCAUGCUAACUGUAGCUGUGUGUGAGAGAG